rnacentral:sRNA from 1 species
ACAGCUGAUUGACCGGUUUUUCCAAAGAUUUUAGGAAUUUUCCGUAUAAUUGUCGUAUACAGUCUUUGGGUUUUUCAUAUAUAUGCAUCAAAUCUAAAUUUGUGUAUCAAAGGCCUAUCCAGUGCAAUUGAGAAGUUCUGUUUCAGCAUUCACUAAUAUAAGCUUAGGAUGUCAAAUCUCACGAGUGAAAAUGUCAUCAAAUAGGAGAAACCGUAAACAAAGAAUGAAUGUAAACAGAGAAGUUGGAAUCCUAAAUGCCAAAAACUGCCGAAAAUUAAAAAAAAAAAAUUGAAUAGUGUUAUCAAUACCAAUUUAUUCGUAUACAACUUUUGCGGAAAUUUUUUUCAUAUUGCGAUACGAAAUGUUUUAAAAAAACAAGAGAAAUAUGAG